rnacentral:rRNA from 1 species
UACGGGGGGGGCAAGCGUUGUUCGGAAUUACUGGGCGUAAAGGGCUCGUCGGCGGCCAACUAAGUCGGACGUGAAAUCCCCAGGCUCAACCUGGGAACUGCGUCUGAUACUGGAUGGCUUGAAUCCGGGAGAGGGAUGCAGAAUUCCAGGUGUAGCGGUGAAAUGCGUAGAUAUCUGGAGGAAUACCGGUGGCGAAGGCGGCAUCCUGGACCGGCAUUGACGCUGAGGAGCGAAAGCCAGGGGAGCAAACGGG